rnacentral:rRNA from 1 species
AGCGAACGCUGGCGGCAGGCUUAAUACAUGCAAGUCGAGCGCCUGUAGCAAUACAGGAGCGGCAGACGGGAGAGUAACACGUGGGAACGUGCCCUUCAGUUCGGAACAACCAAGGGAAACUUUGGCUAAUACCGGAUACGCCCUUACGGGGAAAGAUUUAUCGCUGAAGGAUCGGCCCGUGUCUGAUUAGCUAGUUGGUGGGGUAAUGGCCCACCAAGGCGACGAUCAGUAGCUGGUCUGAGAGGAUGAUCAGCCUCAUUGGGACUGAGACACGGCCCAAACUCCUACGGGAGGCAGCAGUAGGGAAUAUUGGACAAUGGGGGCAACCCUGAUCCAGCCAUGCCGCGUGAGUGAUGCAGGCCUUAGGGUUGUAAAGCUCUUUCGGCGGGGAAGAUAAUGACGGUACCCGCAUAAGAAGCCCCGGCUAACUUCGUGCCAGCCGCCGCGGUAA